rnacentral:rRNA from 1 species
UCCAUGGCGGCGGCGGUCAUUG